rnacentral:rRNA from 1 species
UACGUAGGGGGCAAGCGUUGUCCGGAAUUAUUGGGCGUAAAGGGUGCGUAGGCGGCGGAGUAAGUUGGGUGUGAAAGCCCCGGGCUCAACCUGGGAAUUGCGAUGGAGACUGCAAGGCUUGAAUCUGGCAGAGGGGGUAGAAUUCCACGUGUAGCAGUGAAAUGCGUAGAGAUGUGGAGGAACACCGAUGGCGAAGGACAGCCCCCUGGGUCAAGAUUGACGCUCAUGCACGAAAGCGUGGGGAGCAAACAG